rnacentral:misc_RNA from 1 species
UCCGAGUUGACCCCGGCAGUCUCCUAUGAGUCCCCGGCAUUAUCCGCUGGCAACAUAGAACGAGGGUUGCGCUCGUUGCGGGACUUAACCCAACAUCUCACGACACGAGCUGACGACAACCAUGCACCACCUGUAUACCGCCCUUGCGGACCCCAUAUCCCUAUGAGUUUUCGGUAUAUGUCAAGCCUUGGUAAGGUUCUUCGCGUUGCGUCGAAUUAAGCCACAUGCUCCGCCGCUUGUGCGGGCCCCCGUCAAUUCCUUUGAGUUUUAAUCUUGCGACCGUACUCCCCAGGCGGCGAACUUCACGCGUUAGCUGCGGUACUAAGGAAGUCUCCUUCCCCAAUACCUAGUUCGCAUCGUUUAGGGCGUGGACUAC